CCUAAUCGGAUGCUUAUGAAAAUGAUUUCCUUCUUUCAAAAACACCGGGUCCAAACAGAAACUAACCUCAUCCGGCAGAUAAAGAAUGUUUGUGGCCUUUCGAGUUGUCAAAUCCCCCCCAGCUAUCGCCAGACCUUUGAUAAAUAUUUUCCCAGCAGCAAAACACUCUUUUGUAUUCAAGGAAGCCCCGGGAGAAGCUCGGGCGCCCAGGCCCGCACACCCUCCGACCUCCCCCGCGGCUGGUGGGAAGGGAGGAGCCCGGGGGAGACGGGUCCCAGCUCUGUGAAGUCUAAGCUGGGAGCCUCCUGCAUCCCUAGGAGAAGAGGUGACAGUCACUGAACCCAGACGCUUUCCCAGCUGCAGCCAACUAACUGCCUUUCUCAUGCAAACGCAGGUCCUUCCAGAGAGACUUUGGUUAAAAUGGAGAUACUGCUGACUUUGAAACUGCAGAACAAGGGAAGUCACCAUGAGGUCUGCAGACCGAACCCUAAGAGGAACCAGAAAGGUCUUAAGCAGGGGAGGAACUGUCUAAGUGACUUAGAAGUGACCCUGAGAAGAAGACUGUUGGAAGGCCUCCAGUUGCAUGUUUUCCGUCUUUGAAUCUCAGCCUCAAGCCACGUUUUCCUGAAUUUCUGAGAGUACUCCUUGAAGCAUGUUACAGAAAAGUCUAGAAUGUGCCCCUGGUCUCCUUUCUCUUCUGCAGGCGAGAAGCCCUCUCCGUGUCCCUGUGAACCCCAGGGAGAUGCAUCGGAGGGACCCGGCUUCCGGAUGUGGGACUGAGGUGGAGCUCACCGCUGUCCACCCAGACGGACUCUAAAUGACUACCCAGGCCCCACCAGGCAGGAACAGCACCGGGCUGAGCUACCUGGGUGGAAAUUUCCAAAGCUCUGAACAGGUCCCUGGACCAGGAAGGAGUCAGCUGCAAGGCCUGGGCUGGAUUCUCUUCACAAAGCCUGUGCAGGUCCUGCCCUCCAGGCUCUGACAUGGCUCUGGGAGGUGUUCUGCCAUCAAAAUCAUGAAGCUCAUGGGGGGUCAUCACAUUUCCAGGACCACCUCAAAAGCCAGUGGACCCCACACCAGUCCUGGUGCAGAGAUGGCAAAGCCUGACAAUGGCAGGAUCAACAAAAACCUUCCCACCCAAAAUAAAUUGAGAAAUACAGCCUUACCCUACUGGAAGGUCCCCCCUCACUUGCAAGUAAGUUACUUAGCUAACAGAGAGAACCUUGGCAGGCUUCCACCAGAUUUCAGAAAUUGUUUCAUGGCAAGAUGGCUCACAUGUUUUGCCACAAAUGUAUUAGAAACAGAUUGGCCACCGUGGAAACGUGAGGCAUAAAAAUCACUAUUCCGUGCUCUCUGGAACUCCAUCUGGGCUGGAGGCAGGAUGGAGAAAUGAAAGACCGAGAAAGGAGAAGCUCCAUCCCGUCCCUGUACGUGUGCCCACGUGUUCUCUCUCUCAGAACUUUUCUGCAAAGAGCCCUGCUGGACCCUCUUCUUCUCUUCUAGUCUCUCUUCUGCAUGGGCGAAAGGGAAAAGUCGGUAAAUCGAUGGAUUUCGGCCUAGAACGCUCUGGCCUUCCCGAGCUGACCCUUGGAGUGACUCUUUGACUUGGGGUCUUUUGCAUCCAAGUCUUCCCGGACACUGUCCUCGGAGCUGUCCCGUGAUUUCUCAAGAGUCUGGGGGAGGCCCUCUUGCUUUGGAACGUGCUCCACGAUUGUGGCAGGAUUCCCUCCAAGCUCUGAUGCCCCCAGAGAUACACCGACUAGGUCACAGGGCCGCCCCGCCAAAGUGAGGCGAGUCCUGGAGAUGAGAGCCCUCCAAGCACUCCCGAUAGAAUCCAUGAAAUAAGGGCACGAGGCGUCACUGAGAGCGCCCCUGUCGCAUGCCUCUGCUGGUCCCUUGAAGCCCUCCAACCCGUGCGUUUAUUUAUUUUCAACUUUUUAGUUAUAUUUUUCUUUCCUCGUUUUUUAUGGGUGCAUUAUAGUUGCACAUAAUGGUGGGACCUGAAGCCAAUAUAACAACAACAACAAAAAUUGGCCAAUAUCACUCCCCCGCACUUACCCCUCCUUUCCCCUCCCCCCUGCUGAUUUCUUUCCCCUUUGAUUUUCCUGAGAUCCCCACCCACCCCCACCUUUCUUUUCCUUUUUCCUCUCCAGCACCCACAUAGGAGAGAAACAGAUCACCCUUAGCCUUCUGAGUUUGGCUUAUUUUGCUUAAAAUAAUGGUCUCUAGUUCCAACAAUUUACCUGCAAAAAACACCAUUUCAUUUUUCUUUGUGGCUGAAUAAAACUCCAUGUGUAUAUCUACCACACUUUUUUUGGUCCAUUCAUCCAUUAGUGGACACCUUAGUUUGGCUAUUUUGAGUUGUGCUGCUAUAAACAAGCCAAUAGAGUGUGUGUGCAUGUGUGUGUGUGUGUGUGUGUGUG